GAGGCCUGAUGAGAUGUGAGCUGCAGAGAAAUCUGAUGGCACUAAUGUACCUGGCAACUCAAGUGAACGUUGGGAGCCCAUCAGGCAGCCUCACAAGAUUCAGCCUUUUCAGCAGGUGUUUGAACACAGUGUAAAAGGCAAAGGGUUCAACAGGAAAAGGGUGUUCUUUACAAAUGAAAGGGCUCAUAUGGGAGACACCUGUAAUAAGUCAGUUGGCAUUGUAGGAAAGACAACUGAACAUGUAAAGAAAACUUUCCAGAAAAAGUCCUACCUCAGUAAACCUCAACAAGCACACACAGGAAAGAAACUUUAUGAAUCUUUUGAGUAUGAGGAAACUCUCAUUUACAAAUCAGAUUUUAUCACAAGUCAAAGAACACAUACAGGAAGAAAAACCUAUUCUUGUAACCCCUGUGGAAAAUCUUUCAAUUGUAAAUCCUGCCUUUCUAUCCAUCAUGGAACUCAGAAAGGGGAAAGGCCCUCUGGGUGUGAUGAAUGUGGGAAAGCCAUUUACCUGAGGUCAGAUACUACAAAUCACAUGACUCACACAAGAUACAAAUCUUUCACAUGUAAAACAUGUGGCAAAGCAUUUUAUUGGAAGUCACAACUCAUUCUACAUCAGAGAAUUCACACAGGGGAGAAACCUUAUCAAUGUAAUACAUGCAGAAAAGGCUUUCAUUGGAAAACAAUCCUUAUUUCACAUCAAGAAUUCACACAAAGGAGAAAUCUUACAAAUGUGAUAUAUGCAGAAAAGCCUUUUCCUGGAAGUCAAAUCUCACUGUACAUCAGAGAAUUCACAUAGGGCAGAAACCUUAUGAAUGUAAUAAAGGUGGAAAAGCCUUUAUCCAAAAGUCAAAUCUAACUUCACAUCAGAAGAUUCACAUAAAUGAGAAACCUUAUGGAUGUGAAAUGUGUGAAAAAACCUUUCGCUGGAAGUCAAACCUCACUACAUAUCAGAGAAAAUUCACACAGGGGAUAAACCUUUUGAAUGCAAUACAUGUGGAAAAGCCUUUUCCCAAAAAUCACAACUCAUUGCACACCAGAUGAUCCACAAAAAGGAAGAAAACUUAUGAAUGUAGUACCUGUGGAAAAUCGUUUUUCCAGAAGUCACAACUCACUCUACAUAAGACGGAGAAGAUUUAUAAAUGCAAAAUGUGUGGAAAACCCGUUUGUUGGAAAUCACAACUCUUUACCCAUCAGAGAAUGCAUAGAUCAGAGAAAAUUUAUGAAUGCAAUACAUGUGGAAAAGUCUUUUGUAAUAACUCACAACUCAUUACACAUCAGAGAGUUCACACAGGGGAGAAACCUUAUCAAUGUGAUGAAUGUGGAAAACAUUUUCCCAGAAUUCAAACUUCAGAAGGCAUCAAAGAACUCACAUGUAAGAGAUAACUUGUCAGUGCUAUGGAUAAGAAAAGACUUUUUGCCAGAAGCUACAUCUCAACAGAAGGCAAAACUCACAAAAAGGAAGAAACACCUUUUAAUGAAGUGAUUAUGAAAAUUCCUGAUGCCAGAAGUCAGUGUUAGGCACACAUCAAAGAACUCACAGGAAAAGUUAUAGACAGUGAGAGAAAGAGAAAGAGAGAAAGGUCUUCCUUCUGUUGGUUCACUCCCCAAAUGGCCGCUAAAGCUGGUGCUGUGACUGAAAGAGCUGGACUGGAAGAAGAGCAACUGGGACUAGAACCAGUACCCAUAUGGGAUACCAGCACAGCAGGUGGAGGAUUAACCAAGUGAGCCAUGGCGCCGGCCCCAACUACGUGGUUUUAAAAGGCCCAAGUGGAAAGGAUUAAAAAGGAGAGAAACAAGAAACAGAAAUAAUGUUGAAG